UUUUCUACUAAAAGUUGACAUGAUUCUAACGUCAUCUAUUUUUCCAUUUCUUCUAUAAAUAACAGACAUUACUCUCAUAUCCAUUUAUUUUCCUAUUGAUUGUCCACAUCACUCUCUCUUCUCGUCCUAUUCGCAGCUCAUUCCAUUCUGAUAUAACAAUUAUUUCUUUCUUUUUUCCUUGAUUAAACGUCAACGGUCGGUGUGAGGUAACAGCCUUUAUCGCCUUACAUAAAAACAAGGGCCCAUAAUUCUUCAACGAUUUGGGCUGUCAUAAGGAUACAUUUUUUAGAAGCCUAAGAGGCGACUAGUCAGGCUGUCACUGAUGUCUUGCUAGAUGAUGGCACAGAAUUCUUCAUAAAUUGUCUCUAGAAUCAAGGGAACACUCUUAAAACUCAAUUGACUUCAUUACAGACAGUUAAAGAGAUCGAUAGAGAAUCCUGAAACGUUCAAGAAUACUAGUGAUAGAAAGAAUGCAAUCCUAAUAUACACUUUUCUUACUUUUUUGCUAAUUCAUCAGUAUAAAUAAGCAUCAAAUAAUAUUACGAAUGUGAAGAGAUUAAUUUUGAUCGAUAUAUGGCUCCCUAAUACGUUUCUUCUUUGUUAAUUCUAUUGCUACACGUAUCAAAAAUUCCAAUAUAGUGGCACAAGUAUGUGAUGUUAGGAAUUCACUCUUCCUGCGUGUGUGCGAGCGUACCUAAGACUGCACCUGCGUGGUAACAAGUGUCUCUGUACCGCUAUUAGGAGCACAGCUGGCAGGAAGAGUACUUUUUUCAUCAUCUUUCCUGCAGCGUCGCAUCGGCAGCACGCUGGAUCUUGUCCCGUAACACCAUUGCCACAAGCUUCCUGCGAUCCCUCUCCAAAGGUUACAUCUGGCACCUGGGACAUCAUAUCUGGCACCUCCACCACUCACUCCUCUUCCCAAUCACUUUAUAUAACCAGGAGACAACGUGGCGUGGUCUGAUAGCUGGCCUGCCUGAGGGUUUCGAAAGAGUGUGUUCAGGAAUGCCACAAUGUCCUCACUUCCACACCGCCACCAUGACAUGCAAGAGGAAGCGGCUUUCUGAUUGGUCACUCUCCCCGGAAGCUGCCUCGUUAUUGAUGUACUGCGACCAUGGAUAUUGUUCCGCACCCCACGGGACGCCACGCUUCAUUUGUACUCAACGCAGCUUGGAGUACACUCACGCUCGCCUGGCAAUCUACUUGCCUGCCUUUCUUUGACUGGUCCUCCUGUCAAGCACAGCCAGUCUACCUCUACAGUCUACUGUCUACAGUCACACUCCAGUGUGUAGACUGUAAUCCUGCAUCAUCACGCAAGCUACAAGCUUCAUUCAAGGCGCCCAGACUACAAGUUUCUGGCCGCCGGCUACUCAUCAAGCCUCCACGCGCUCGCUACCAAGUAUUUUGUAUUCCUACAAUA